UCUAAUUUUUUGAAACAAGCUUAUAAGCUCAUAUAAUAAGCUAUAAGCUAGCUUAUUUGUGUUACCAAACAGAGCAAGAGUUUGUCCUUUAUGCGCGACAUAUGAUUUUUAGGUGGUUAGGAUGAGAGUUAGUGAUUCAAAUUUGCUAUGUUUGCAAUGUUUGUGGAUCUUGUGGUUAGGGUUAGGGUUAGCUAGGCUAUGCUCUAACAUUCAGUUGUAUGGUCAAUUUGAAAGUCCCAUAAUAUUUUUUCUAGAAAGACAACGAUUGUAGAGCAAUUGGUGGACAUGAUAAAAUUCUCCUAUAGUGGAAGUUGUUUCUUAGUAUGACCUUUGGUCAUUCCCACCUUGUCUUUGAGUCAAAAAAUGAUUUGUUGGCCGGGCUGGAUCGAAUUGUGCUUAACUUGAUUGGUCGUGUGAUUCUUGUCUUACACGGGUUCACGCCGCCGGCAUCAAGUAUCAAAGGCAAAAUCAGACGGUGUAAAUGAAGAUGAAGAAGAAUAGAGAUGAUUGGAGAGAGUUCAACCGACAGUUCAGAUCUCAUAUCUAUAUUAUCAAGACAUCAAAAAUAAAAAAUGAAGCAAAGCAAACACAUGACAAGAUUGAAGGGGUGAAGGUGCAUAGUUGGUUUAGGAGUUUAGAGCUUUUCUGUUUUGCUGUUUCUUUUGUCUGCAUAACAGAUUUGUUUGUAGGUGUUUUGGUUUGGGGUGGUUUGCUUCUUGUGCUAGUGCAUGAUAAAUUUAGCUAUUUCAAAAGACAAGAUUGAGUUUUGAGAAGAACAAGAAAAACAGAUUCAAAUCUGCAAAAGAGGAAUGAAGAUGAACUGAGACAUACUAGAGAUAGUUUACAAUCAUCCACCAUUGAUGCUUUAAUUGAAAUGAAAAUAAAUAAUUAUAGAGGAACAAUUAGAAAGAGAGUAUAUUUUUUCUCUAUGAUAUUGAUACUUCUGAGGAAAUUGGGGAAGUUGAAAACAACAACUUUAGAGAAAGCAAAAAAAUUAGAAGGGAAGAGAGAAGCAAUUUGAUAAGACUAGUAAGAGCAGAGACAUUUUUGUUAUUGA